GAUACUGGCGGACGGGUGAGUAACACGUGGGUAACCUGCCUGUAAGACUGGGAUAACUCCGGGAACCGGGGCUAAUACCGGAUGCUUGAUUGAACCGCAUGGUUCAAUUAUAAAAGGUGGCUUCGGCUACCACUUACAGAUGGACCCGCGGCGCAUUAGCUAGUUGGUGAGGUAACGGCUCACCAAGGCGACGAUGCGUAGCCGACCUGAGAGGGUGAUCGGCCACACUGGGACUGAGACACGGCCCAGACUCCUACGGGAGGCAGCAGUAGGGAAUCUUCCGCAAUGGACGAAAAGUCUGACGGAGCAACGCCCGCGUGAGUGAUGAAGGUUUUCGGAUCGUAAAACUCUGUUGUUAGGGAAGAACUAAGUACCGUUCGAAUAGGGCGUACCUUGACGGUACUAACCAGAAAGCCACGGCUAACUCGUACCAGCU
rnacentral:rRNA from 1 species